GACGGUACCUGCAGAAGAAGUACCGGCUAACUACGUGCCAGCAGCCGCGGUAAUACGUAGGGUACGAGCGUUGUCCGGAAUUAUUGGGCGUAAAGAGCUCGUAGGUGGUUGGUCACGUCUGCUGUGGAAACGCAACGCUUAACGUUGCGCGUGCAGUGGGUACGGGCUGACUAGAGUGCAGUAGGGGAGUCUGGAAUUCCUGGUGUAGCGGUGAAAUGCGCAGAUAUCAGGAGGAACACCGGUGGCGAAGGCGGGACUCUGGGCUGUAACUGACACUGAGGAGCGAAAGCAUGGGGAGCGAACAGGAUUAGAUACCCUGGUAGUCCAUGCCGUAAACGUUGGGCACUAGGUGUGGGGGACAUUCCACGUUCUCCGCGCCGUAGCUAACGCAUUAAGUGCCCCGCCUGGGGAGUACGGUCGCAAGGCUAAAACUCAAAGGAAUUGACGGGGGCCCGCACAAGCGGCGGAGCAUGCGGAUUAAUUCGAUGCAACGCGAAGAACCUUACCAAGGCUUGACAUACACUGGACCGUUCUGGAAACAGUUCUUCUCUUUGGAGCUGGUGUACAGGUGGUGCAUGGUUGUCGUCAGCUCGUGUCGUGAGAUGUUGGGUUAAGUCCCGCAACGAGCGCAACCCUCGUUCUAUGUUGCCAGCACGUGAUGGUGGGAACUCAUAGGAGACUGCCGGGGUCAACUCGGAGGAAGGUGGGGAUGACGUCAAAUCAUCAUGCCCUUUAUGUCUUGGGCUUCACGCAUGCUACAAUGGCUGGUACAGAGAGAGGCGAACCCGUGAGGGUAAGCGAAUCCCUUAAAGCCAGUCUCAGUUCGGAUCGUAGUCUGCAAUUCGACUACGUGAAGUCGGAGUCGCUAGUAAUCGCAGAUCAGCAACGCU
rnacentral:rRNA from 1 species